UACGUAGGGUGCGAGCGUUAAUCGGAAUUACUGGGCGUAAAGCGUGCGCAGGCGGUUCGUUAAGUCAGCUGUGAAAGCCCCGAGCUUAACUUGGGAAUUGCGGUUGAAACUGGCGGACUAGAAUCUGGCAGAGGGGGGUGGAAUUCCACGUGUAGCAGUGAAAUGCGUAGAGAUGUGGAGGAACACCGAUGGCGAAGGCA
rnacentral:rRNA from 1 species